rnacentral:antisense_RNA from 1 species
GGUGCAUUGUGGAAGUCAACAAGUAAGUUUUGUUAAAUUUGAGUAAGAAGACCUGUUUGUUUCCUCAAGUUGCUUAUAAUCUAGGUGAGGACACAUCUGAGAGAAUAACUAAUAGUUCAGUGAAGUUAAAAACAACAACAACAACAACAACAAAAACACAAAACCCUGAGGCUCAGAAGAUAAAUAUUUGCUGAAGAUCACUGUGCUUAUUAGAUGGGUGUUACUGAUUCUUACCUCAGAGAAGAGAAUGUCAUGGAGACAAAAUGAUCUGCUUAGAGUUCUGCACCCCCCAGCAUGGAGAGCAGAGCGCAAAGAUUUCUUCCGGACUCUCACAUUCCCCUUGGAAUCCAAGAACUGGUCUACUGUCACAACACUUUAGUACCCUCUUAGAUGGGGAUCUCACUCUGUUUCCCAGGCUGGUCUCAAACUCCUGGCUUCAAGCAAUCCUCCUGCUUUGGCCUCCCAAACUUCUGGGAUUACAGAUAUGAGCCACCACGGCUGGCUGACAGGCACCAAAUUCUAGGAGAGGACUUCAAUAGACUCCCAAGGAGGCAGCAGAAACUGGGGUAAUCACAACGGUCAACAGCAGCAAAGGCAGCACUUUCUG